CAAAAAUGAAGAGGGAUGAAGUAGUUUUUAGGAAAAACUUCAAAAACUCCCCCUGUGGUUUCAUGCAUUCUCACUUUCAUACCCUGUGGUUUAAAACGUAUCAAUUUGCCCCCAUGUGGUUUCAUUUUUCUCUUUUUGUUAUCAAUUUUAUUAUUAUUUUUUUCUUAAAUCAGUGACAAAAUUAAAAUUAAAUGAUACUAAAGUGAAUAUUCAAUAAACAUAGAUGGUUAUCUGAAGUUUUUUGUAUAUAAUUUAACGAAAUAUUAACGAAAAAGCUUCUGAAAAGAUAAAAACGAAACCACAGGGGGGCAAAUUGAUACGUUUUAAACCACAGGGUACUAAAGUGAGAAUGUAUGAAACCACAGGGGGGGUUUUUGAAGUUUUUCCUAGUUUUUAACUAUAAAUACUUAUUUUGGUUCAUUAUAACUUUAUCUUCGAUCGAGACUCAAAAUUUUCAAAAUACCAUAAUUGAUUUUGACUUACCUCAGAGUAAAGUCAAUUAUGAAGAAAAAGUGUAAAAUAAUAAUAAAUAUCAAUUUAUCUCUCAGCUUUACGCUAUUCACUUUCUUCCAAACAGAUAACAUAUUUAAAAAAUUUUAGCACACGUUUGGUUCAAAAUUGAAGCAAAAUUGGAAUAGAAAUAAGAAAAAACCGAAAUAGAAAACGGAAUAAUAAAAGCUUCUAGUUAUUUGGUUCAUAAGAGGAACCGGAAUCAAAAUCAAAAUCAUAUUUAAAUUAAAAUUCAAAAAAUAAAUUUUAAUUAAAAUACAGAUUUACUAUUCAAAUUCAUAAUUAAAAUUUGGACCAAAAGUAUGAACUUAAAGUUUAAAUUUAUAAUUCAAAUUCAAAUUUGAAGUCAAAUUUUAAAUUUACAACAAAAUUUAACUUAUACUAGAUUUUAAAUUUAAACUAUUAAAUCCAUAAUUCAAAUUCAAAUAAUAGUUAGUGAAAAAAAAAUUCUUUUCUCAAUUUCUUCGAAA
rnacentral:lncRNA from 1 species